UAAUUCCUUUACAUUGAGGGUAGAAAAAAUCACUCUAGAUUAUAAUAUUUCCUUUUUUCAAAACUAGUCCACCAACUCGUUAUCUCCUUUUUCUUUUCAAGGACCAAAAUGACUCGAAGGAGACCUUCUAUAGAAAGAACUGAGCAACCUGAGGCCUAGGAUCCAAUUUAUCGAGCUUUUCUUAGCCAUUUAGGGUCUAACUAUAACAAUACGUCAAAACCAGGCAAACUAUUAUCAACACCCUCCUGCGCUUGACCACCAAGCUGAAUGAUCUAUUUCCCAUAAUAUUGUCGAGUUUAGAAGACUAAACCCACCCCACUUCAAAAGAGACCCCGAUCCCUUAGUUGUAGAAGCCUGGAUCCUAUAGAUAGAAAAGAUUUUCUUUAUCCUAAAUCUAACCAU
rnacentral:lncRNA from 1 species